rnacentral:rRNA from 1 species
AUACCGGGCCUUUUUGGGCUUGGUAAUUGGAAUGAGGGAGAGUUAAACGGACCAUCGAGUAUCCAUUGGAGGGCAAGUCUGGUGCCAGCAGCUGCGGUAAUACCAGCUCCAAUAGCGUAUAUUAAAGUUGUUGCAGUUAAAAAGCUCGUAGUUGGACUUGUGUGCGCUGUCCGCGGGUGGCCUGCGCCCAAAAGGGCGUUUCGGUUCGGCCCCGGUGGCGCCUUGAAAUCUGCAGCUGGGGGGACGUUGGCCUUAACUGGUCGGCGACCGCACGCCGGCUGCUCGGUUACUGUGAGAAAAUUAGAGUGUUCAAGGCAGGCAUUGGGUGCAAUUGAAUACAUUAGCAUGGAAUAAUAAAAUAUGGCUCCUGCCGUAUUUUGUUGGUUUUGACUGGUGGGAGUAAUGAUUGAUAGGGACGGUUGGGGGUGCUAGUAUUGAGCGGCCAGAGGUGAGAUUCAUGGAUUCGCUCAAGACUAACUUAUGCGAAAGCAUUCACCAAGGACGUCCUCUUUAAUCAAGAACGAAAGUUGGGGGAUCGAAGACGAUCAGAUACCGUCGUAGUCUCAACCAUAAACUAUGUCGACUUGGGAUCGGCGGUAGCUUUUUCAUUAAGACACUGUCGGGACCACGGGAGAAAUCAAAGUGUCUGGACUCUGGGGGAAGUAUGGUCGCAAGGCUGAAACUUGAAGGAAUUGACGGAAGGGCACCACCAGGAGUGGAGCCUGCGGCUUAAUUUGACCCAACACGGGGAAACUUACCAGGUCCAGAGAUGUAGAGGAUUGACAGAUUGAAGCUCUUUCUUGAUCACUUCGGUGGUGGUGCAUGGCCGUUCUUAGUUGGUGGAGUGAUUUGUCUGGUUAAUUCCGUUAACGAACGAGACCUCAGCCUGCUAGUGUAGUCGGCUGGAUUGCCUUUGGCGAUCCGUGAUUUCGACUUCUUAGAGGGACAAUCGACGCGCAGUCGAUGGAAGUUUGAGGCAAUAACAGGUCUGUGAUGCCCUUAGAUGUUCUGGGCCGCAUGCGCGCUACACUGCUGGGCUCAGCGAGUUUUACUUGGCCGAGAGGCCCGGUUAAUCUUGUGAAAUCCCAGCGUGCUUGGGCUCGCCUCCUGCAACUGGAGGCGCCAACGAGGAAUUCCUAGUAGACGCAGGACAUCAACCUGCAUCGAUUACGUCCCUGCCCUUUGUACACACCGCCCGUCGUUCCAUAAGAGUGAGGCAUCCGGUGAAUUCUCGGGAGAGCCUGGGCGUGGCCAGCAAUGGUCUGCUCGGGUUUGAACUUGCAUAAACUUGGUGCCUAUGAUUAGGGAAAAGUCGUAACAAGGUUUCCGUAGGUUACCUGCGGAAG